rnacentral:rRNA from 1 species
GAUGAACGCUGGCGGCGUGCCUAAUACAUGCAAGUCGAGCGAAUGGAUUAAGAGCUUGCUCUUAUGAAGUUAGCGGCGGACGGGUGAGUAACACGUGGGUAACCUGCCCAUAAGACUGGGAUAACUCCGGGAAACCGGGGCUAAUACCGGAUAACAUUUUGAACCGCAUGGUUCGAAAUUGAAAGGCGGCUUCGGCUGUCACUUAUGGAUGUACCCGCGUCGCAUUAGCUAGUUGGUGAGGUAACGGCGCACCAAGGAAACGAUGCGUAGCCGACCUGAGAGGGUGAUCGGCCACACUGGGACUGAGACACGGCCCAGACUCCUACGGGAGGCAGCAGUAGGGAAUCUUCCGCAAUGGACGAAAGUCUGACGGAGCAACGCCGCGUGAGUGAUGAAGGCUUUCGGGUCGUAAAACUCUGUUGUUAGGGAAGAACAAGUGCUAGUUGAAUAAGCUGGCACCUUGACGGUACCUAACCAGAAAGCCACGGCUAACUACGUGCCAGCCGCCGCGGUAA